rnacentral:lncRNA from 1 species
GUCAAGGACCAUGUCCUGGGGAUGGCAACGUUCAUGCCACUGACGGGUGAGAACAAGAAGAAGUGGAGCCGUCACCUCAUCAUGGCCCGAAAUGAGGGGUUGAUGGAGUGAGUGAGCCAUGCCGGUGGAAGAUCAAUGUUGUUAUCUUUGCUAUGCUGUUAAUUAGUAACUUUGGACUUCAUUAUCUUUGCCGCCCGGAACCCUAGCCAAAUUUGCUAUGCUAUUAUCUUUUGUUUGUAAUAUCAAUGGACUAUUUC